rnacentral:rRNA from 1 species
AUACGUAGGUGGCAAGCGUUGUCCGGAAUUACUGGGCGUAAAGGGUGCGCAGGCGGACAUUUAAGUGAGAUGUGAAAGACCCGGGCUUAACUUGGGCAGGGCAUUUCAAACUGGGUGUCUUGAGUGCAGGAGAGGAGAACGGAAUUCCUAGUGUAGCGGUGAAAUGCGUAGAGAUUAGGAAGAACACCAGUGGCGAAGGCGGUUCUCUGGACUGUAACUGACGCUGAGGCACGAAAGCGUGGGUAGCAAACAGGAUUAGAUACCCUGGUAGUCCACGCCGUAAACGAUGAGUACUAGGUGUAGGAGGUAUCGACCCCUUCUGUGCCGCAGUAAACACAAUAAGUACUCCGCCUGGGAAGUACGAUCGCAAGAUUAAA